AGAGUUUGAUCCUGGCUCAGAACGAACGCUGGCGGCGCGCCUAAUACAUGCAAGUCGAGCGAGAAGACGUAGCAAUACGUUUGUAAAGCGGCGAACGGGUGAGGAAUACAUGGGUAACCUACCCUCGAGUGGGGAAUAACUAACCGAAAGGUUAGCUAAUACCGCAUACGACUCCUGGUCUGCGGAUCGGGAGGGAAAGCGAUACCGUGGGUAUCGCGCUCUUGGAUGGGCUCAUGUCCUAUCAGCUUGUUGGUGAGGUAACGGCUCACCAAGGCUUCGACGGGUAGCUGGUCUGAGAGGACGAUCAGCCACACUGGCACUGCGACACGGGCCAGACUCCUACGGGAGGCAGCAGUAAGGAAUAUUGCGCAAUGGGCGACAGCCUGACGCAGCGACGCCGCGUGGGGGAUGAAGGUCUUCGGAUUGUAAACCCCUUUCGGCAGGGAGGAUGGAACGGGUAACCGUUCGGACGGUACCUGCAGAAGCAGCCACGGCUAACUUCGUGCCAGCAGCCGCGGUAAUACGAAGGUGGCAAGCGUUGUUCGGAUUUACUGGGCGUACAGGGAGCGUAGGCGGUUGGGUAAGCCCUCCGUGAAAUCUCCGGGCCUAACCCGGAAAGUGCGGAGGGGACUGCUCGGCUAGAGGAUGGGAGAGGAGCGCGGAAUUCCCGGUGUAGCGGUGAAAUGCGUAGAGAUCGGGAGGAAGGCCGGUGGCGAAGGCGGCGCUCUGGAACAUUUCUGACGCUGAGGCUCGAAAGCGUGGGGAGCAAACAGGAUUAGAUACCCUGGUAGUCCACGCCU
rnacentral:rRNA from 1 species